rnacentral:tRNA from 1 species
AGGGAAAUAGCUCAGCAGUAGAGAACAUGCUUAGCAUGCAUGAGGUCCUGGGUUCAAUCCCCAGUAACUCCA